rnacentral:rRNA from 1 species
CUCAGUUCAGAUUGCAGGCUGCAACUCGCCUGCAUGAAGUCGGAAUUGCUAGUAAUCGUAGGUCAGCAUACUACGGUGAAUACGUUCCCGGGCCUUGUACACACCGCCCGUCAAACCAUGAGAGUUGGCAACACCCGAAGUCGGUAGUCUAACCGCAAGGAGGACGCCGCCGAAGGUGGGGUCGAUGAUUAGGGCUAAGUCGUAACAAGGUACC